GCCUCCCCUCAAGGCCUUUUGUCAUUUGAUAUUAACCCUUCCUGCCUUGUUCUUGUUGCAGCAAAGUGUGUUACAGCUCAGUGUUACAGCUCAGUGUUAUACCUCAGUUGUGACAGCAACCUGGAUCCAGGCGAGAGACCAAGCAGCACUACGGGGGAUGGAGAACUCAGGUUUAUUAUGCCAGCGGGCCCAGAGGAGUUAACACUCCAAGCUCUAGACCCCAUCUAUAGGUUUACAUAGCCUUUUAUAGGCUACCAGUCUAGACUUUGCAACAUUUUGUAACAUCGUAUGCAAAUAAGGUAUAAUAAAGGUGACUGAUUAGGAACAAGCUUUAUAGAAAUGGACCAAUCAGGAGUUAGCUCAGGGAACCAAUAGACCCUUAGGGGUAAGUUCCACUUUCCUAGAAGUAAGCCGUUUCAGAGUUUAAAAAGUGAGAUAAUGCCACUGGGCCAGGGAAGCGGAUGGUGACCGCAGGAGAGUAGUGGCCCUGCCUGGGCGUCCUGCCAGUCUUUUUUCAUGGGACUUCCUACCUCACUCUCACUGGUCUCCUAUGGAUGAAUAAAACUUGCUACAACCGAGUUAAAUCACCUUCUUUGCUGACUUCUGGCACAGUUUCCCACGUCCGGUCUUGACUCACUCACAAGGAAUGCCCUUCCUGCCCAGCUUGGUCCAAGUAGGUUCUUCCUUGAUCAUCAGCCUGCCAGGUUCUCACUCUCUCCUGAGUCCUAGUAAUACAUUUAUUUUCCCUAAAGUAAACUUGCAUCCCUUUGUGACAUCUCUUCUAGCAUUAUGCUGAACUCUUUUCAGUCUUACUAGGACAUUUAGCUCUGUUUGUUUUUCUCAACCAGAUCAUAAAACAGUUUGACAAAGUGGAUACCAGCACAGACUCUCAAGCCUUGUGCUCGGUUGGGUUUGAAUCCUCGCUUCAUCUCUUAUGAGCGCCAUGACCUGGACAAGUCACUUCAUUUUACUGGGCCUCAGUUUCCUCUUCUGGAAAAUAGAGGGGCACCAUGAUCUGACCCACAUGAACAGCUACAAGAACAAAGAAUUCCUACAGCCAGAAGUUUGCAACAACCAACCACAACCCUUCCCCUUUUUAGUAUAAAAGGAGCCUGAAUUCUGACUUGAGUAAGAUGUUUCUCUAGGACAUUAGUCUGCCGUCUUCUCAGUCUACUGGCUUUCCGAAGAAAGUCACUGUUCCUUGCCCUAACACCUCAUCUCCCGAUUUACUGGCCUGUCAUGCGGCGAGCAGAACGAGUUUGGACUCGGUAA